rnacentral:misc_RNA from 1 species
UUAACUAUUAUAUAGUACUCAGACAGUAUAGACAAACAGAGUUUAGGUCCUCUGGCAAGCGCUCGCCGGCCGGAGCCAGCAGCCCGAGGGCAGGCCUGCCAAAGCAACAGAGGUAUGAUAAACAUAGGGUGGGAGGUCGACCCCGAAGGGCAACGUCUCUUUAAUGAUCCUUCCGCAGGUUCACCUACGGAAA